CGCGUCCGGAGAGUCACCGUCGGCGCAACAAGCAUGUGCGCAUUCGCCGAGAACCGAACGACGUCCUGGAAUUCGCUUCGCCUGCCCUCGGCCCGCGCCCCGGCAGAUCUUGCGAGCGCCGCCCUUCGACUUUUAACGGUCCCCUCGGAGUUUAAUAACCAGGCGGAGGCACGGAAAUGAAUGGAAUUCGUGCUCCUUCUUUCCAUCUUUCGUGCCGUUCGCAAGAACCGAAGGCACCGCGCGCCGUCGGGGCGGGAAGCGUAGAAGAGGAAAAGGUCUCCUCUCUCGGUGACCUUUGCAGGGAGCCGGAGCCUAACCCGGCAACACAGGGCGUAAGGCCGGAGGGGGAGGGAGGGGACACACCCAGGACGGGACGCCAGUCCGUCGCAAGGCACCCCAAGCGGGACUCGAACCCCAGACCUGCCAGAGAGCAGAACCCAGCCAAGCCCGCUGCACCACCGCACACCUGCCUGCUGAAAACUAAUACAGUAAAAACUACCCAGCUGUGA
rnacentral:lncRNA from 1 species